GCAGUGAUGGCCGAGUGGUUAAGGCGUCUGACCAGAAAUCAAAUGGGAUCUUCCCGCGUAGGUUCGAAUCCUACUCACUGCG
rnacentral:tRNA from 1 species